GAUGAACGCUGGCGGCGUGCCUAAUACAUGCAAGUCGAGCGAACGGACGAGAAGCUUGCUUCUCUGAUGUUAGCGGCGGACGGGUGAGUAACACGUGGAUAACCUACCUAUAAGACUGGGAUAACUUCGGGAAACCGGAGCUAAUACCGGAUGAUAUUUUGAACCGCAUGGUUCAAAAGUGAAAGACGGUCUUGCUGUCACUUAUAGAUGGAUCCGCGCUGCAUUAGCUAGUUGGUAAGGUAACGGCUUACCAAGGCAACGAUGGAUAGCCGACCUGAGAGGGUGAUCGGCCACACUGGAACUGAGACACGGUCAAGACUCCUACGGGAGGCACCAGUAGGGAAUCUUCCGCAAUGGGCGAAAGCCUGACGGAGCAACGCCGCGUGAGUGAUGAAGGUCUUCGGAUCGUAAAACUCUGUUAUUAGGGAAGAACAUAUGUGUAAGUAACUGUGCACAUCUUGACGGUACCUAAUCAGAAGGCCACGGCUAACUACGUG
rnacentral:rRNA from 1 species